GCGAUCAUACCAGCACUAAUGCACCGGAUCCCAUCAGAACUCCGAAGUUAAGCGUGCUUGGGCAAGAGUAGUACUAAGAUGGGUGACCUCUUGGGAAGUCCUCGUGUUGCACCCC
rnacentral:rRNA from 1 species